rnacentral:rRNA from 1 species
CUACCCGGGUAUCUAAUCCUGUUCGCUCCCCACGCUUUCGCUCCUCAGUGUCAGGUAAGGCCCAGAGAACCGCCUUCGCCACCGGUGUUCCUCCCGAUAUCUGCGCAUUUCACCGCUACACCGGGAAUUCCAUUCUCCCCUACCUACCUCUAGUUCGCCCGUAUCCACUGCAAGUCCAGGGUUAAGCCCUGGAUUUUCACAGCGGACGCGGCGGACCACCUACGAGCUCUUUACGCCCAAUAAUUCCGGACAACGCUUGCGCCCUACGUGUUACCGCGGCUGCUGGCAC